GACGAACGCUGGCGGCGUGCCUAAUACAUGCAAGUAGAACGCAGGUGCGAACGGGUGAGUAACGCGUAGGUACCUGCCUCAAAGUGGGGGCUAACUAUUGGAAACGAUAGCUAAUACCGCAUACUGUGAGAUGCACCUGCGUUGUGUUAGGUAGUUGGUGAGGUAAAGGCUAACCAAGGCGACGAUACAUAGCCGACCUGAGAGGGUGAUCGGCCACACUGGGACUGAGACACGGCCCAGACUCCUACGGGAGGCAGCAGUGGGGAAUAUUGGACAAUGGGCGCAAGCCUGAUGCAGCCAUGCCGCGUGAAUGAAGAAGGCCUUCGGGUUGUAAAGUUCUUUCGGCGGAGAGGCGUUACUCACAGAGGAAGCCACGGCUAACUCCGUGCCAGCAGCCGCGGUAAUUC
rnacentral:rRNA from 1 species